CGUCGCCACGGUAAUACGUAGGUGGCGAGCGUUGUCCGGAUUUAUUGGGCGUAAGGGGAGUGUAGGCGGUCUUUUAAGUCUGAUGUGAAAGCCCACGGCUCAACCGUGGAGGGUCAUUGGAAACUGGGAGACUUGAGUGCAGAAGAGGAGAGCGGAAUUCCAUGUGUAGCGGUGAAAUGCGUAGAGAUGUGGAGGAACACCAGUGGCGAAGGCGACUCUCUGGUCUGUAACUGACGCUGAGGAGCGAAAGCGUGGGGAGCGAACAGGAUUAGAUACCCCCGUAGUCCCUGUCUCUUAUACC
rnacentral:rRNA from 1 species